GGAUUUGGGGAGUAUCGACCCUCUCCGAGUCGAAGCUAACGCGUUAAGCGAUCCGCCUGGGUAGUACGGCCGCAAGGAUAAAACUCAAAGGAAUAGACGGGGACUUGCACAAGCGGUGGAGCGUGUGGCUUAAUUCGUCGCUAACCGAAGAACCUUACCAAGGCUAGAAAUGCUACUGCACGCCCAGCGAAAGCUGGGAAGCCUUCGAGGGUGUAGCACAGGUGAUGCACGGCUGUCGUCAGUUCGUGGUUUGAAUCGUUCCCUUCAGUGGGGUAACGAACGCAACCCUCGUUGCCUGUUAUAUAUGUCAGGCGAGACUGCCCCCUCACGGGGGAGGAAGGUGAGGAUGACGCCAAGUCAGCGUGUCCCUCUGAUGUCUUGAGCUGCACACGCGCUACAAUCGCCGUUACAAAGGGGCGCAAUGGGGUAACCCGGAGCAAAUCCCAAAAAGCGGCGCCGGUUCGGAUUGAGGUCUGCAACCCGACCUCAUGAAGCCGGAAUCGCUAGUAAUCGUGGGUCAGCCACACCACGGUGAAUACGUUCUCAAGUCUUGUACUCACAGCCCGUCAACUCAGGAAAGUUGGAAGUGCCCGAAGUCAAUCCUCGUGAUUGCCCAAGGCAAACUCAAUAACAAAGAGUAAGUCGUAACAAGGUAAC
rnacentral:rRNA from 1 species